CACGGGGGUUGCGAGCGUUAUCCGGAUUUACUGGGUGUAAAGCGCGUGCAGGCGGUUCAGAAAGUUGGAUGUGAAAGCUCCCGGCUUAACUGGGAGAGGUCGUUCAAUACUUCUGGACUCGAGUAUGGGAGAGGGAGGUGGAAUUCCGGGUGUAGUGGUGAAAUGCGUAGAUAUCCGGAGGAACACCAGUGGCGAAAGCGGCCUCCUGGUCCAUUACUGACGCUCAGACGCGAAAGCUAGGGGAGCGAACGGG
rnacentral:rRNA from 1 species